GAUGCCAAUAAAGAGGAGAUUGACACCAGCCUCGGGGAGAGAGACACCAAGCAGAGAGGAGAGAAAGGGUCGCCGAACGGUGACUAAGUGCCACCAGGCGCCACAGAAAGACGUGCCGGUCGGCGAAUGCACUCAGGCGGAAGCUAAGAAAAGGCGUACCGGUCCACGAGUGGGUGCUGGCAGACAUCAAGGUGUAAAGGCUUCCAUAGGACUGUGGGUGAUCCCCAGCAUAAUGGCGCGGAACCAUUGAGUUUGUUACAGUGGUGCCGAAACCCUGUGCUGAAAGACAAGUAAGACGCCAGGGAGACUUUGCUGCAGGGGGAGCGGGACCAGGCCAAGGAGAAGUGCUGCAGCCACCACCUGCAUCUUGUUCGGCAAGAUGGGACCAUGAAUGAAAUGAAAGUGAUUAAAGAAGCUCUGCUUGGUGAA